GACAAACGCUGGCGGGGUGCAUGAGACAUGCAAGUCGAACGGGGUUGAUCGGGCUUGCUCGAUCAACCUAGUGGCGGACGGCUGAGUAACGCGUAGGUGACCUACCCGGAAGUGGUGAAUAACUGCCCGAAAGGGUGGCUAAUACCGCAUGUGGUCGGCGAAUCGGAUCGCCGUCCAAAGCCGAAAGGCGCUUCCGGAGGGGCCUGCGUCCGAUUAGCUAGUUGGCGAGGUAACGGCUCACCAAGGCGACGAUCGGUAGCUGGUCUGAGAGGAUGAGCAGCAAGACUGGGACUGAGAACGGCCCAGACUCCUACGGGAGGCAGCAGUCGGGAAUUUUGCCAAAUGGACGAAAGUCUGAGGCAGCAACGCCGCGUGAGGGAUGAAGGCCUGCGGGUCGUAAACCUCUUUUCCCAGGGAAGAUCCAAGACGGUACCUGGGGAAUAAGCCACGGCUAACUACGUG
rnacentral:rRNA from 1 species